AUACUUACCUGGCGUAGGGGUUACCAUGAUCAUCAAGGUGGUUCCCUCAGGGUGAGGCCUUUCCAUUGCACUACGGUUGGGCUGACCCCUGCGAUUACCCCAAAUGUGGGUAACUCGGGCGCGUAAUUUUUGGUAGUGAGGACUGCGUUCGCGCUGUCCUCU